ACACUCCUACGGGAGGCAGCAGUGGGGAAUAUUGCACAAUGGGCGCAAGCCUGAUGCAGCGACGCCGCGUGGGGGAUGAAGGCCUUCGGGUUGUAAACUCCUUUCGCUAGGGACGAAGCUUUUUUGUGACGGUACCUAGAUAAGAAGCACCGGCUAACUACGUGCCAGCAGCCGCGGUAAUACGUAGGGUGCGAGCGUUGUCCGGAAUUACUGGGCGUAAAGGGCUCGUAGGUGGUUUGUCGCGUCGUCUGUGAAAUUCUGGGGCUUAACUCCGGGCGUGCAGGCGAUACGGGCAUAACUUGAGUGCUGUAGGGGUAACUGGAAUUCCUGGUGUAGCGGUGAAAUGCGCAGAUAUCAGGAGGAACACCGAUGGCGAAGGCAGGUUACUGGGCAGUUACUGACGCUGAGGAGCGAAAGCAUGGGUAGCGAACAGGAUUAGAAACCCUGGUAGUCCC
rnacentral:rRNA from 1 species